UACGAAGGGGGCUAGCGUUGUUCGGAAUUACUGGGCGUAAAGGGCGCGUAGGCGGUGAUCUUUGUCAGAGGUGAAAGCCCGGGGGCUCAACUCCGGAAUUGCCUUUGAAACGGGAUUGCUUGAGUCCGAGAGAGGAUGGCGGAAUUCCUAGUGUAGAGGUGAAAUUCGUAGAUAUUAGGAAGAACACCGGUGGCGAAGGCGGCCAUCUGGCUCGGUACUGACGCUGAUGCGCGAAAGCGUGGGGAGCAAACAGG
rnacentral:rRNA from 1 species